GGCCGGGGAGGCCUCGGCCCAGCCUGGGCUGGGCUCGGGGGAGUGGGAAGGAAAAAGUGAGGAAAAACUGAGGGAAAAGUGGGAGAAAAGCGAGAAAAAACAGGAUUUCAGGAGAAGCUUUUUUUCUUGAGCGUUCCUAAAAGAACCAAGGGGAGAAGCAGCCCACAAAAUCCCAGGCCCAAAAACAGCUGGAAAACGAAAGGAAUUUGGGAAAAAAAA